AAUGAACGCUGGCGGCGUGGUUAAGACAUGCAAGUCGAACGGUUUUCAUUGAAGGGCAACCGGAUGUGAAAGCAGUGGCGAACGGGUGCGUAACACGUGAACAAUCUACCUCCAAGUGGGGAAUAGCUCGUCGAAAGGCGAAUUAAUACCGCAUGUGGUCGGGACUCGCAUGAGUCCUGAACUAAAGUCAGGGACCGCAAGGCCUGACGCUCGGAGAGGAGUUCGCGGCCUAUCAGCUAGUUGGCGAGGU
rnacentral:rRNA from 1 species